AGGCACUUUCCAAAUCCUGGGUGGAGUAGACAGCAAUGAAGAAAAAGCAAACCUUAUUCAGAAGAAGGGAGUAUUCAAGAGGCAAGAGGACCACAUGUCAGUUGUUUGCUCAGAUGGAGGAUCCAAUUAUGUUCUCUUUCUAGGUACCUCCACAAGUCUCCUCAAUCAGUUUGAAAGGAAAAGGAUAUCACUACCAACACCAAGUGCUGCAAAUUCUAGUGAGAGUUGUUUACUCCAUGCAGCAAAACAAGCAGACCGUGGCUCAGGGGAGCACGUCGCCAGGGCUGUCACGAUCGCCUAUCCAUAUUACCUCAUGACAAGUGUGAGCGCAGCACAUUCAGACCCAUCCAGCGUGGCUGGGUCGCAGUGAACCUGAAUGAUCUCAUCUCCCAGGUGUGGGUCUGGCUGUUUCAGCCGUCUGUGCACAUUCUGAAUCCAGCAACUCAUUUGGGUAAAUUACACUGGUGGUAAAGCUAUUGGAUAAGGUUUCCACAACAUAGUCAUCGUUCCUCCUAAGGAUGCUAAUUAAUAUCCUUCAAAUCCAAUGAAGAGGCUACUAAAAGUUUUCUUGUGAUGCAUCAUAUUUUAUUCACUCCUCAUGCUCACCCCGCUGGUCAUUUUGCGUGUGCGUACAAGGUGGUGCACUAGAGCAAGGUAUUCAACUUAUGGUACGAGUCAGGUGCUUUAUUUUUCCUCAGUGGAAAGAUUUUGGCCCAAUUAGUGAUAUGAUUUAGUUUUUAAGCAAAUAUUGUUGACUUGAACAACAUAUUAAAAUAAAGAGAGCUUUUUUUCCUUGCCAUUGUAGAGGUCACUUGAAACGCUAGUUACAUAAGUAGUCUAGUUAUAUAAGUAGUCUCUUGGCAUCUACACAUUUAAGAGUUGGACUUUCAACUUGAAAGUCCAUGAAGGUAAUUUGCAAUUUUCCUGAGGCCCAAAUUUGAAUCACAUACAUUAGAGUAUGCAGGCGUGAGUUUGUUAGCCUGUAAAUGAGCAAAGCAAAUGAACUAGUACUCAUAUAUCAGUACUGCUUAUUCUUUAUUUGUCUAUGCACACAUACUUUUGGGGGAAAGAGGGAAUCGUAUGUUUUUAUUGAAUAUGGAGAUUUGCAGAGGUUUUGUGAAUAUCCCUUGCAAAAACCAAGGAUUUAUUGGCAGAGGGUAAAUACCAAGGACUCAUAGCAGAUAUAGAUUAUUAAUUAUUCUCUCUUCUGAUAUCAUAGUCAACCUAAGAUUCCUCCUUACACAGCCCUCCAGGUAACCAUUACUAUUCUGUCAUAAUAGGUAUGAGAGAUAAAAUCUCUUUGCCAUCCCGGUCUGUUCUAUAUAAAGAGACACUGACAGGAUCUCCUUUAUUUUGAUAUCUUUUUUUACUAUUUUAGUCUUGUACAAUGUAAAUAUUGUUAAUAAAAGGAAAACAGGUCAAUUGCAUUUGAAGAGAGUUAGAAUAUUUAGGGAAAAAAGGGAGAAUGACAUUACUCCCACCUACAAAAGAUUUAGAUAUCUUCUCUAUUACCAUACUAGCUUUGAAAACAUUUUUAGAAACCUUAAAUGUGAAACAAAAUGCUGAAUGUCUACAAUUUAUACAAUACCUAAGGAGUGUGUCUGUAACUUCACUUCAAAUUCAACAUUCAAUUUAACAGUUUUGAUUGCUAAAUUUCUUCCAGGAUUGUACUACACAGUAAAAGGCACCUAAGAGUCACUGUUUACUCUCUUCCAAAACAUACAAAAUUAACCUUAUUUCUUUUAAUGUUAUUUCUAGAUACUUACACUUCAUAAAUAUCAUAGAUUCAAUGUUUCUGCAGCAAGCAGAAUUAUGGUUGAGCCAAUCCAUGUAAGGGCGUGACAGCUAUCUAGAAAAGUUUCUUAGGCUUUAGUCUAGAGUGGCAUGAAUCUCCUUGGUCCUAGACUUUUAAGUAAACUGACAUGUUCAAGUCAACAUAAAGGACAACAGAGGGAAAAAUACUUGCUAGUAUUUAGGUGCCUAAGACAAGAAACAGAAUGAACUGGUUGACAGGGUUCUAAAAGACUACUUAAGUUGAACCAAAUAUCUUAUUUAAUAGCAUUAUUAGGUAAAAAUAUUGCAUGCAGUGCAUCUUUUCCUAGAAUCAGAACAUUUUUGAAAGCUGUGUUCUAUUGAAGUGAUUUUAAAAUACUACAUGUCUUAUUGUUACCUUAUUUUAUACUGAGCCAGUGAAAUUUCUCAGCUGAAAUGUCAGGUUUAUAAUUAGAAUUGUCAAGAUAUAAAAUUUAUCUUGCCUAAAGACAUGGGUACCUUCUGAAAGAUUUGAAAUCUAUAAUACACCAAUUAGAAAAACUUUCAUUGAAUCUUUCAAAUUAUAAAUUAAUUCCACAUUAUUGUUUUUACUUUUUGACCUUUCUAAUAAAAUA